rnacentral:misc_RNA from 1 species
GGAAGUAAAAGGCGUAACAAGGUUUCCGUAGGUGAACCUGCGGAAGGAUCAUUAUUGGAUUUUGAAACUUCAGGCUGCUGCUGGCUCUCCUCGGAGGGCAUGUGCACGCUUGUUGUCCAUUAUUUCUCCCACUGUGCACAAAUUGUAGACCUUUCAGUAGGCCUAUGUUGUUUUUCACAAUCUCUGAAUGUAAUAGAAUGGUUUUGAAUCUUGGGAAAUACAAUACAACUUUCAGCAACGGAUCUCUUGGCUCUC